UCGUCGGGCACAUUUUCUUCCUGAUUUUGACUCGCCCUACCGCAGCCAACAAGAAUUUUCCAUUUCACGUCCGGACGUCGCAGAUUAGCGUUAUGGAGCAGAUGCCUAACGGAACGGCUGGGAACAACAACCUGGACCAUUUUUCUGCACACGCGUACGCGCCCAGCGCCCCGCUGGCGGUGCUCGGCAGCCAGCAGAGCACACCCACCGAACUGUUCGUCAUCAGCACGUCCACUGAGAGGCCCACGGCAAGCAAUGGAAAGCCAUACGUGAAGCAGGAUGCCAGUUUUCCCCACCAGCUAAACGCCAACGUACGUGAUGACUGACCCGAGACGGUUGGCACUUCAUCCGAGACACAAUACUUCCGCCAAGUUAAAUAGUGAAUUAUUCCAUGCAUGGCUGCGUAUAUGGUACGCAAGGGCAUCUUCAGAAGUAUAUGAACAGUAAAGUACG
rnacentral:lncRNA from 1 species